ACCCUGUUCAAGUAAAAUGGU
rnacentral:piRNA from 1 species